rnacentral:misc_RNA from 1 species
UCGAGUUAAUUGAAAGGGGUUGUUGCUGGCCUUCCGAGGCAUGUGCACGCCCUGCUCAUCCAACUUACACCUGUGCACUAUUGAGGCGUUGCCCUCCUUUCAUUAGGAGUCGUUCCUUUUUCCUUCGGGGAGAGGUUGAACUGGGGCCGCGCCUUUCUCUCUAACAAACUACAAGUCAUUACAGAACGUCAAUUGCUAUAAACGCAACUUAAAUA